rnacentral:lncRNA from 1 species
AAACCUCAGAGCUGCAGCGAGCGGCUGGGCAACCUUCCUGAGGACGGCGCCCCCUCGCCCAGCUCCAAGCUCCUCCCUGUCCCCACAGGAUAUCCCUGGACCUGGCGGGUCACUCUAGCCAGAGCAGCCUUCCACAGUCCUCCAGGGUCAGAGCUACAGUUGAGGACCCUGUAGGUGGUAGAGGUGCCCGGGGCCGGGCUCUGGGGCUGGCAGAGGCAAUGUCAGCGCCUGCCACCUGCGAUGUGGCCAGGGAACUUGGGGCUGAGCAAGGGCACAGAGGGGAGAGUGUGGCAUGAGGGAGAGGCGGGACCCCGCAGAGGCUCCCACACCUUCCAAGGCAGCAGAGGAGAAGGGGAGGCUGCCAACAGCCAGACCAGGGCUCCAGGGGGGCGGCAGGGGGCCCAGGGAGCUCCGGGAAAUGGGACAGCCACUGUCCACCUGCAGAACGCUGGCUUAAGCCUUGCAGACGGGCCCAGUGGGCAGGGUCGUGAUUUUCACUCCCGAAGGGCCUGGGGUGACAAGCCGGAGGUCUGGGAGAUGGGACUGGAGACCGUGUUCAGAAGGAGGAGCUCUCCACUCUGUUGGCAAAAGCCCUGGAGCUCCAGGCAUCCACAGUGACCGAAUGUUGGUAAAGUCCCAGAGGACGGGACCCAGGGCAUGCCCCUCACUGGACGGUGGCCUCGGGCCCUGCAGGGAGUUGAAUGUGGGGUCAUGAAGAUGUCAGAAUUGCGUCUGAAGAUGUCAGAAUUGCAUCUGAGGAGGCAGGUGGGCACACGUGAUGCAGGGACACGCCAUGCACCAGGGUGGGUUCAGAGCAGCAGAAGCUCUAGGGGGCACCUACAGGUUUCUAUAAAAUGGGGGAUUUAAGGGGCCUUGGCCUUCUGCGACUG